CCUACGGGUGGCAGCAGUGAGGAAUAUUGCACAAUGGGCGCAAGCCUGAUGCAGCAACGCCGCGUGAGCGAAGAAGGUCUUCGGAUCGUAAAGCUCUGUCCUUGAGGAAGAAGGAAGUGACGGUACUCAAGGAGGAAGCCCCGGCUAAAUACGUGCCAGCAGCCGCGGUAAUACGUAGGGGGCAAGCGUUAUCCGGAUUUACUGGGUGUAAAGGGGGCGCAGACGGCAAUGCAAGCCAGGAGUGAAAGCCCGGGGCCCAACACCGGGACUGCUCUUGGAACUGCAUGGCUGGAGUACAGGAGGGGCAGGCGGAAUUCCUAGUGUAGCGGUGAAAUGCGUAGAUAGUAGGAGGAACACCGGUGGCGAAGGCGGCCUGCUGGACUGUGACUGACGUUGAGGCCCGAAGGCGUGGGGAGCAAACAGGAUUAGAUACCCCUGUAGUC
rnacentral:rRNA from 1 species